rnacentral:rRNA from 1 species
UGUAAGCGUAUACCAAAGUUGUUGCAGUUAAAACGUUCGUAGUCGGAAUUUGGCAGUUCCGGAUGUGUGCACGUCGUGUGCGCACUUCGCGGGGAUUGCUUUUGUGGUCUUGCGUAGGAUGAGGCACUUUUAUUAGUGAACGUCCUCACGCAACCACUUUUUACUGUGAGAAAAUCAGAGUGCUCAAAGCAGGCAUUUGCCGUGAAUGUAUUAGCAUGGAAUAAUAGAAUAGGACUUGGUUCUAUUUAGUUGGUUUGUUGGGACUGAGUAAUGAUUAAGAGGGACAGUUGGGGGCAUUUGUAUUUCGGUGCUAGAGGUGAAAUUCUUAGAUUACCGAAAGACAAACUGCUGCGAAAGCGUCUGCCAAGGAUGUUUUCAUUGA